GGCUCGGUAGCUUAGUUGGUAAAGCACUCGCCUAGCAUCCAAGAAUCCUGGCUUCGAUUCCCAGCUGAGCAC
rnacentral:tRNA from 1 species